GAUCAUGGCUCAGGAUGAACGCUAGCUACAGGCUUAACACAUGCAAGUCGAGGGGAAACGACAUCGAAAGCUUGCUUUUGGUGGGCGUCGACCGGCGCACGGGUGAGUAACGCGUAUCCAACCUGCCCACCACUUGGGGAUAACCUUGCGAAAGUAAGACUAAUACCCAAUGAUAUCCCACGAAGGCAUCCGAAUGGGAUUAAAGAUUUAUCGGUGAUGGAUGGGGAUGCGUCUGAUUAGCUUGUUGGCGGGGUAACGGCCCACCAAGGCAACGAUCAGUAGGGGUUCUGAGAGGAAGGUCCCCCACAUUGGAACUGAGACACGGUCCAAACUCCUACGGGAGGCAGCAGUGAGGAAUAUUGGUCAAUGGGCGAGAGCCUGAACCAGCCAAGUAGCGUGCAGGAUGACGGCCCUAUGGGUUGUAAACUGCUUUUAUAGGGGAAUAAAGUGAGCCACGUGUGGUUUUUGCAUGUACCCUAUGAAUAAGGACCGGCUAAUUCCGUG
rnacentral:rRNA from 1 species